AGUGAACGCUGGCGGUAGGCCUAACACAUGCAGGUCGAACGGCAGCACAGUAAGAGCUUGCUCUUACGGGUGGCGAGUGGCGGACGGGUGAGGAAUACAUCGGAAUCUACUUUUUCGUGGGGGAUAACGUAGGGAAACUUACGCUAAUACCGCAUACGACCUACGGGUGAAAGCAGGGGAUCUUCGGACCUUGCGCGAUUGAAUGAGCCGAUGUCGGAUUAGCUAGUUGGCGGGGUAAAGGCCCACCAAGGCGACGAUCCGUAGCUGGUCUGAGAGGAUGAUCAGCCACACUGGAACUGAGACACGGUCCAGACUCCUACAGGAGGCAGCAGUGGGGAAUACUGGACAAUGGGCGCAAGCCUGAUCCAGCCAUACCGCGUGGGUGAAGAAGGCCUUCGGGUUGUAAAGCCCUUUUGUUGGGAAAGAAAAGCAGCAGGUUAAUACCCCGCUGUUCUGACGGUACCCAAAGAAUAAGCACCGGCUAACUUCGUG
rnacentral:rRNA from 1 species